UACGUAGGGUGCAAGCGUUGUCCGGAAUUAUUGGGCGUGAAGAGCUCGUAGGCGGUCUGUCGCGUCGGGUGUGAAAGCCCGGGGCUUAACCCCGGGUCUGCAUUCGAUACGGGCUAGCUAGAGUGUGGUAGGGGAGAUCGAAUUCCUGGUGUAGCGGUGAAAUGCGCAGAUAUCAGGAGGAACACCGGUGGCGAAGGCGGAUCUCUGGGCCAUUACUGACGCUGAGGAGCGAAAGCGUGGGGAGCGAACAGG
rnacentral:rRNA from 1 species